UACGGAGGGUGCAAGCGUUGUCCGGAAUCACUGGGCGUAAAGGGCGCGUAGGCGGCUCAUGAAGGCUGUGGUGAAAGUCCGGGGCUCAACCUCGGAUCGGCCGUGGCGACUCGUGGGCUGGAGCACUGUAGAGGCGGGUGGAAUUCCGGGUGUAGCGGUGGAAUGCGUAGAGAUCCGGAAGAACACCAGUGGCGAAGGCGGCCCGCUGGGCAGUGGCUGACGCUGAGGCGCGACAGCGGGGGGAGCAAACAGG
rnacentral:rRNA from 1 species